UCGGUUAAGUCCGCAACGAGCGCAACCCUUAUCCUUGUUGCCAGCGGUCCGGCCGGGAACUCAAAGGAGACUGCCAGUGAUAAACUGGAGGAAGGUGGGGAUGACGUCAAGUCAUCAUGGCCCUUACGACCAGGGCUACACACGUGCUACAAUGGCGCAUACAAAGAGAAGCGACCUCGCGAGAGCAAGCGGACCUCAUAAAGUGCGUCGUAGUCCGGAUUGGAGUCUGCAACUCGACUCCAUGAAGUCGGAAUCGCUAGUAAUCGUGGAUCAGAAUGCCACGGUGAAUACGUUCCCGGGCCUU
rnacentral:rRNA from 1 species